AUUGAACGCUGGCGGCAUGCCUUACACAUGCAAGUCGAACGGUAACAGGUCUUCGGAUGCUGACGAGUGGCGAACGGGUGAGUAAUACAUCGGAACGUGCCCGAUCGUGGGGGAUAACGAAGCGAAAGCUUUGCUAAUACCGCAUACGAUCUACGGAUGAAAGCGGGGGAUCUUCGGACCUCGCGCGGACGGAGCGGCCGAUGGCAGAUUAGGUAGUUGGUGGGAUAAAAGCUUACCAAGCCGACGAUCUGUAGCUGGUCCGAGAGGAUGAUCAGCCACACUGGGACUGAGACACGGCCCAGACUCCUACGGGAGGCAGCAGUGGGGAAUUUUGGACAAUGGGCGCAAGCCUGAUCCAGCCAUGCCGCGUGCAGGAUGAAGGCCUUCGGGUUGUAAACUGCUUUUGUACGGAACGAAAAGGUGCCUUCUAAUAAAGGGCGCUCAUGACGGUACCGUAAGAAUAAGCACCGGCUAACUACGUG
rnacentral:rRNA from 1 species